rnacentral:misc_RNA from 1 species
GAUGAAGAACGCAGCGAAAUGCGAUAAGUAAUGUGAAUUGCAGAAUUCAGUGAAUCAUCGAAUCUUUGAACGCACAUUGCGCCCGCCAGUAUUCUGGCGGGCAUGCCUGUUCGAGCGUCAUUACAACCCUCAGGCCCCCGGGCCUGGCGUUGGGGAUCGGCGGAGCCCCCCGUGGGCACACGCCGUCCCCCAAAUGCAGUGGCGGUCCCGCCGCAGCUUCCAUCGCGUAGUAGCUAACACCUCGCGACUGGAGAGCGGCGCGGCCACGCCGUAAAACACCCAACUCUUCUGAAGUUGACCUCGAAUCAGGUAGGAAUACCCGCUGAACAUAAGCAUAUCAAUAAGCGGAGGA